AACAAUUCUCUCAAGGCUUCAUGAGAUGGCAGGCAGUGGUGACACGUGCCUUCGAUCCUACACACACUCAGGAGGCAGAGGCAGGUGGAUCUCUGAGCUUGAGGACAGCCUGGUCUACAGAGUGAGCUCCCAUACAGCUGUGUGUGUGUGCACGCACACAUGAACAAUACAAUAUUGCUGUAAAAGGAUCAGACAGAUCCCUAAUUGUGCCUGAGACCUGAGAACUGACACAUGGAAGAUAUAUUCUGCUGUAGAGUCUAGUGUGGGAUGAUUAAAGUCUGAUGACCAGAAGAGAAAUCACUUCUCAGUGAAUUAUGAGACUCAAUUUAUGGAAUAAAUUAUCGGGCUGGGUUUUUAGAAACUCCAACAGUGGUUAUAAUUUAUCUUGAUUAUAGAAAGGUUUCAUGAAAUACACUAUGCAAAUUAUUGAUCCAUUCCCUAAGCACACAGUGCAGGUGCAGGACUUUCUGUGAGAGGCAGACACCUUCUUGCUCCUAGAUGUAGUGUAGCAGCCCACUGUGGUUUAGAAAUGGAGACAUUUCCUCCAAGAUCUUGGAAGAUUGCAUGUGUGCAUGCCUGUGUUUAUAUCUAUGCAAAUGCAUGUGUGUGCAAGUGAGGUCACAGGGCAACCUUGGAUGCUGGCACCAUCUACCUUUUUAUUGUUUGAGAAUCUUACACAUGCAUCUCAUGUAUUUUGAUGAAAUAUACCCUCUCUCUCAUCCCUCCAACUCCGCUCUUCCCUUCCACCUCUUUUCCAGGGACUCUCACUGGGCUAGGAUUUGCCACAUAGUCUGAUGAGGCUAGCCAGUGAGUGAACUAUGGGGAUCUUGUUGCCUCUGCCUCUCCAGGAGUGGAAAUAGAAAUGUGCUCUACCACACCUGGGUAGAACUCAAUGUAAGGUGUCUCCCCAGCCCUAGAAUGCCUGUGGAACUGGAGCUCACCCAUGCUUGCCCUUCACAUCAUCAGUCACAUCUUUAAGGAGCUUUGAUCUUCUUUCUGGUGACUGUGCCCUGAUUACCUCAUACAUUUUCUUACAUUUUCUUUUGAUCUGCUCAGGUCACAGUUGUGAAAGAGAAAGACCAUAGGCUGCUGGUAGCUUGUGGUCGGAGAGUUUUAGAGCCAUCCUUGCAGAAGGAACAAACAUUCAGAAUCUGCAUUGUCAGGAAGUUGUUCUCAGUUAACCUUUAAUUUAAAGUGAAGCUGCUCACAUCACAUAUGGUGCAUUUCCAUCCUAUAGAAGCAUCAGGAAGUGAUCAAGCCUUGAAUGACCACCAUCAACUCAGCCUCACUCCAGGGAUGUAGAGGAAUUGGGACAUGCCCACCUUCAACAUGAGAACAUAAAUUUCCCACGUGGCUCUUUAGCAGUGUACUCAUGCAGCUUCUUGUCUGCCAUGCAGAUUACUAUGUGUCUUCUUCACUCUGAUCUUUGACUGAAAGAGGUCCUCAGUAUCAACCUUGCUCACUUAUUUGCCUUAAUCUCAGCUAUUCCUCUCCUUUGCUCCCAAAACCAAUACCAAGGUGUAUAUUUGACAUUACUCCCAGGUUCCAUGCCCUACUGCAGGAUAGGAAAACGGAUAAGCCACAGACAUCACUGAAAAUCACAGACUUACAGGGUGAUCGAUGGAACUUUGAACAAAGAUAGGUUAUACCCGGGUUAAGAAGGACAGAGAAAGCAGCCAGGUACCCAUCCUUUCACUUAUCCAAACAAUAACUCAACAUCCUAGCAAGUUCAGGUGUUUUGGUGGAAGACAGUAAGCCAAUAAGGUAGUGUUCCCAUCACUUUAAAACCUAACUUGUUCCAUCAUCGUAACAAUCCAGUUUCUGCUUGUAACAUUCCCAUUGUAGUGUGAGGGGUAUGCUGCCCUCCACUUACAGAGCAACUUCACCCAAAGGACUUGUACAGGGCUGGAGUGCCACUAUGAAGGGGCUGUCCCUGCAGACCAUGCAGAGCCUGUGUUUGACCUGCCCAUUCAAAGGCUUUUGUUAUAUUUUUAUCGUUUCCCAAGUAAUAUCAAAAGCAACAGAUAUAUGGAAUAUGUAAUGCAGACGACAAUAGGCAUAUUUAAAUAACUCAUGAAGAAGUACUGAAUGUGUAGGCUCCCUGGUAGUACCUUGGACAGGGGCACAUGUUGUUUAAAUUAGUGUGGUCUUUAAAAGUCACUGUAGAGCCCAGUGUUUUAGGAAACUGAGUUGCAGCUAGAGACAUCAUGUUUCUUUUAUGAUAAAUAAACAGAACACAGAAACCUAAUCUAAAAUGCUACAGUCCCUUUGCAUGUGCUAAUUUGUCAAGAAAUAUAUAAACACUGUGUGGCCUUACAAAAUACAGGGUCUACUUGGAAAGACAGCUUGUAGCUUGGGAGUGUAAGUCAGGAAGGAGUGCUUCUGAUAGCAAAUCAAUGGCUGGGAACCCAGAUGGAGCUGUAGUGACCUGAAUUGGCUGGUAGUUCCCAAAGGUAUGUGUGUAUGCAUGUGUGUAUGUGGGUGCACGUGCAUAAAAAUGCACACCUGCUGGGUGCGCCUGCUGGUUAGACUCAGGGGCAUUGUGCUAUUUUCUAUAAUGACUCAAUGACUCUUGCAGUCAAGAUUAUGCAAAAGC
rnacentral:lncRNA from 1 species